rnacentral:rRNA from 1 species
AUUGAACGCUGGCGGCAGGCUUAACACAUGCAAGUCGAGCGGAGUGAUGGUGCUUGCACUAUCACUUAGCGGCGGACGGGUGAGUAAUGCUUAGGAAUCUGCCUAUUAGUGGGGGACAACAUCUCGAAAGGGAUGCUAAUACCGCAUACGUCCUACGGGAGAAAGCAGGGGAUCACUUGAGACCUUGCGCUAAUAGAUGAGCCUAAGUCGGAUUAGCUAGUUGGUGGGGUAAAGGCCUACCAAGGCGACGAUCUGUAGCGGGUCUGAGAGGAUGAUCCGCCACCCUGGGACUGAGACACGGCCCAGACUCCUACGGGAGGCAGCAGUGGGGAAUAUUGGACAAUGGGGGGAACCCUGAUCCAGCCAUGCCGCGUGUGUGAAGAAGGCCUUAUGGUUGUAAAGCACUUUAAGCGAGGAGGAGGCCCUUUUGGUUAAUACCCAAGAUGAGUGGACGUUACUCGCAGAAUAAGCACCGGCUAACUCUGUGCCAGCCGCCGCGGUAAUAC